rnacentral:antisense_RNA from 1 species
UUUUUUUUUUUUUUUUUUUUUUAACUGGAGACAGAGUCUUGCUCUGUCGCCAGGUUGGACUGCAGAGGCGUAAUCUCGGCUCAUGGCAACCUCGGCCUCCUGGGUUCAAGCAAUUCUCCUGCCUCAACCUCCUGAGUAGCUGGGACUACAGGCGCGCAUCACCACGCCUGGCUAAUUUUUGUAUUUUUAGUAGAGACAGGGUUUCACCAUGUUGGCCGGGAUGGUCUCGAUCUUCUGACCUUGUGAUCCACCCGCCUCGGCCUCCCAAAGUGCUGGGAUUAGAGGCGUGAGCCACAACACCUGGCCGAAUGUGGUUUCUUAGUGAGUCCUUUACUCAAGGCUGGAAUUGAACAGAUAAAGGAGAUGAAUCACGAGCUCUAUGAUAAUAGUCUAAUAGUCUAAUCUAGCUCUGUUAAGUGCAGAGAUGUUUUCCCUCUGAACACCCGUGUGUUUCAGCUCUGUUCCUCUUCCAAUGCCCUUCCACGGGGAACAAAUCCUUUCUUGACCACCAAUGGCUGCAUGUCUUAUCCUGAGAAGAUCAUGGGGAUUUUGGAUGCCAGGUCAACCCUUACACUCAGCAAGGAAGUGGAAGGGCCUCAGUUUCAAACACUUUGUAAACACAGAGGUUACGUCAUUUCUUCUCCAAUAAGUCAGAAGCUGAGUUGUCCCUGGCAGCAAACUCUGUGUCAAAUGCCUGGCGGGU